rnacentral:rRNA from 1 species
UACGGGGGGGGCAAGCGUUGUUCGGAAUUACUGGGCGUAAAGGGCGCGUAGGCGGCCUUCUAAGUCAGACGUGAAAUCCCUCGGCUCAACCGAGGAACUGCGUCUGAUACUGGAAGGCUUGAAUCCGGGAGAGGGAUGUGGAAUUCCUGGUGUAGCGGUGGAAUGCGCAGAUAUCAGGAGGAACACCGAUGGCGAAGGCAGGUCUCUGGGCCAUUACUGACACUGAGAAGCGAAAGCAUGGGGAGCGAACAGG